UACAGAGGGUGCAAGCGUUAAUCGGAAUUACUGGGCGUAAAGGGUGUGUAGGUGGUUAUUUAAGUCAGGUGUGAAAACCCCGAGCUUAACUUGGGACGUGCGCUUGAUACUGAAUGACUAGAGUGCAGUAGAGGAUAGCGGAAUUUCCGGUGUAGCAGUGAAAUGCGUAGAUAUCGGAAGGAACAUCAGUGGCGAAGGCGGCUAUCUGGACUGUAACAGACACUGAGACACGAAAGCGUGGGUAGCAAACAGG
rnacentral:rRNA from 1 species